ensembl:lncRNA
AACGCGACCCGCGGCGGCCGCGCGGGGACUGCUGGGAAGCGGUGGCGCCGCGGUGGGCUUGAAGAAAGACAUGAGCUGAGGAACGCAGCCUUCUGUCCGUACCGGCACUGCAGGAGAAGGGCUGGCAGAAGGGGCACCCGCACAGGCUCAGAUUGCACACAGAAGUGUGCACACAGUGCUCCCAGAAGCAUCAGUUGGGACAGAAAGAGUGGCUCCAGCCCCCCUCCCCCCCCCCAACUCCAGGCAGUCACGUGCUCAUGUUCAGGAGUUCCACUACAGGGGGCUACAGGUGUCUGUAAGUAAUCCUAGGAGCUGUAGAGCUUCUAUAGACAGUCCCAGGAGCUUUGGGUAGGCUGUGAAAUGCUGCAGAGGUCCUGGGGUCUGUGGGUUGCUGUAGGUGCUCAUGGGAUCUCUGGGGUGCUGUGGGGUGCUCGAAGGGUCUUGGGAGGGCGGCUGCGAGCGUCCUAUAAGCAGUUGUGGGAGCUAUAGAGGGAGUCUGUAGGGGUGCUAUGAGAGUCCUGGGAUUUAUGUGGGGGGUCAGUAAGGCCACAGGCAGAGGAAUGGGGCCACAGGGGGUGACUGGGACACCAGGGGGUGACAGUGAUGUAGGGCUGCCCUACCCCCCACCAUGUUUUCUCAGGCAGAGCCACACGUGCUGGGCCUGCCCACAUGCCUGGCGCUGCUCCGUGUCCAUAGAGGAGGAGCACGCUGCCAUUCUGCGCCCCUGUGGUGCCCCCCCUGUGGGACCGACCCCCGUGUAUGACAGAACCGCCCCUGUGCUGUGCACCUGCAACGCACCCUGAGGAAUGACUACCCCUCCUCAAAAAUGACCACAGGAGCUGGGGGGCUUCCUGCAGCCCCAUUAAAGCCCCCAUGGUGGCAGGCAAGAAAAGGAACCUAGGUUUCUCACUGCUUUUCAAUGGAAAACAAUUUCCUCUAUGCAUUCCUUGAAGUCCGUUACAGAGUUUCAUACGAUUUGCUCCCCUCUGUUAGAAUCAGUGUUUCUGAAAUACUUUGCAGCCUUACCAACCUCGAGUUCUGGGUCAGUGAAGUCUGAGGUCUGCUUAGAAAUACUCUGAACCCAGAAUGGCGUUUCCUUCCCACAAGUCUUCCAAAAGAGUAACUUUUCCUACCACGUUAGCAUUAAUUUUAGACUGUCGUGGCAAGAGUUCAGAGAAGGAGCAAAUCAAGUGUGUCUAAUCGAAAACUAGAAGGGGUGAAAGGGAGGGGGCUGGGGGGAUGAGGAUUGGAAUGUGAAGCACAACCCCAGCUUGGCCCUGUACUGGCAUGCCUGAGGAGCCCCUCGGCCCUGUUUCUCAGCUGAAGCCCAGUCCUCUUUCCAACCUUAGAAACAAACUGAAUGAAAUAGGAGGCUUUGCCCCAGAAGGACCAGGUAAAGGCAGUGACACAGGUUUAAGUUUGGCUGUAUGGAGAUCUAAAGAACUCAAAAUAAAUGCAAAAGUUUAAAAAUAAAGAGUCUGAUUUUAAAAUGUACCCAUUGCGAGAGAGCUUUGACACCUCUGCCAUCUUUUUUACUGCCUUCUAUCACAGAAUGCACGCAGGGCAUUUUCAAUUACUUUAAUUGAAGGUUAUUGUGCACCAAGCCCUGCCAGCCAUUCCACAACAGUAUCUGUAAUCGCCAGCAGUUUCUUAUCUGUGUUCCAAGUAAGACUAUUUUCAGGUAUUUUACUGGAUAAAAAGGGAAUAAAAUUGUGCAUUUAGAUUGAAUAAAAGGUGGUAAGAAGCUCAGUUUUCUCACUCCUCGUAAUAACAUAAUCAUCACACCAGCAUUAUUUACCUUUGUAAAACUUCAAAACUCUUUCUGGUGUAACGCUGGGACUCAAGUCCCUGUGCUUUCUUUCAUACCUUUAACUAGAGAUCUUGAAUCCCAAGAAUUUAGGCACCAAGGAGAACAACAGUAACACCAUCUCUCACACAGGUCCAGUCUGUCCUCAGCAGCAAAGGAGACUCGCUAGGGACAGACUAUAUGAACUUCCCUCGCCCCCUUUCCUCUGCUAAGCCUUGGGGUGAGUGGAAACCCCAAAAUGCCCAGAAACGAGGCUAUCUCUGUAAGUCAGCACAGGUCCCUUCAAGUCACCUUUUUGACACUGGAAGUCACAUAUAUGGCCACCAGAGGGCGAAAUACCUCUCUCAGAAUUCUGGGUGCUACUGUAAAGACAUCCAGUGUCCUAUCCGCAUCUGCAUGCUCUGAAGUUAUUAACAAAAUGACUUCUGUAAGUAAGUGCAGAGAUUAAACGGGAGCCCCAGCCUGGAAGUGAUCCUGCCCACACUCCUUUCACACUCGUAUGUAGGAAGAAGUUGACAGAACAGAGCGACCAAACUGAAGGAACCACGCAUCUUCCAUACAGGGAUCAGCUAACCUCUGCAAGCUACCAAGAGGAAUCCAGGGUGCACCGACUGAAUCCAAACUGCAUCUCCUGAGCUAGCAGGGGGAUGGCAGGUGAUACGUGCUCUGCACUUCUGCCUGAAGAGCUCAGCCAGGAGGUGGCAGCGCCUCUUGUACAGCACGCGGCCUGCAGGAAAAGAAGAGAUGGAGUUCUGGCAGCAGUUGAUAAUACAACGUUGUCAUAGGUCAUUUUUAAUAAUUGAAAGAACAAUAAAAACUAUGUGUUUUAAUUCAGGAUUAACUUUAAGCCUGUUGUUUAUACAGAGGACAGUCAGCGUACGACCAUCUUCUAUUUGCUGUAUUAGAGAAGUCUCCAUCCAGCAAGAGGUCUCAUGGUUCCUACUGUACAAUGGCAGGGGCAGAGUCCAUUUCAGACUCUAUCAAUACCUCAAAUUACGUCCACAUCCCCAGGAGUCCAGGCUCCUUCCAGGAUCUGGCAAAAUGGC